rnacentral:rRNA from 1 species
GUAGGGAAUAUUGGGCAAUGGGUGCAAGCCUGACCCAGCCAUCCCGCGUGCCGGAUGAAGGCCCUCUGGGUCGUAAACGGCUUUUGACGGUGAAGAACCGAAAGGGUGCGCCCUUUUUUGACGGUAGCCGUUGAAUAAGCACCGGCUAACUCCGUGCCAGCAGCCGCGGUAAUACGGAGGGUGCGAGCGUUGUCCGGAUUUAUUGGGUUUAAAGGGUGCGUAGGCUGGAGGGACAGUCAGCGGUGAAAAGCAGUUGCUCAACAAUUGUCUUGCCGCAGAUACUACCUUUCUUGGAUUGGGAGGAGGUUACCGGAACGGAUGGUGUAGCGGUGAAAUGCAUAGAUAUCAUCCAGAACGCCAAUUGCGAAGGCAGGUAACUGUACCUAUAUCGACGCUGAUGCACGAAAGCAUGGGUAGCGAACAGGAUUAGAAACCCUAGUAGUCC